UANUNGGUCNUUUAGAGGAAGUAAAAGUNGUAACAAGGUUUNNGUAGGNUGAGUCCAUNUUANUUGGUCAUUUAGANGAAGUAAAAGUUGUAACAAGGUUUCCUUAGGUGAACCUGCGGAAGGAUCAUUACCGAGUGAGGGUCCGUUUGGGCCCGACCUCCCACCCAUGUAUAUCUGACCACCGUUUGCCUUGGCGGGCCGCGGGGCCUUGCGCCCCUGCCGUCCACCGCGCCGGAGAGCGCCCGCCAGGGGCCCUUUGCACUCUGAUCAUGAUGCCGUCUGAGCAUGAAUAGAAAUUCAAUCAAAACUUUCAACAACGGAUCUCUUGGUUCUGGCAUCGAUGAAGAACGCAGCGAAAUGCGAUAAGUAAUGUGAAUUGCAGAAUUCAGUGAAUCAUCGAAUCUUUGAACGCACAUUGCGCCCCUCGGAAUUCCGGGGGGCACACCUGUUCGAGCGUCACCGACACCCUCAAGCCUGGCUUGAUGUUGGGCCCGUCGCCCCGCUCUUCGGAGGGGGCGAGCCCAAAAUCGCAGAGGCGAGCGCGGCCCGACUCCAAGCGCAGUGACCAACUCUCGCUUCUCGGAGACGGCGCCGCGGCGGCCCAAUCAAUCAAUACAUCCAUGUUUGACCUCGGAUCAGGUGGGGAUACCAUCUGAACUUAAGCAUAUCAAUAAG
rnacentral:rRNA from 1 species